AUGCAGACAGGACAAAAGAGAAAAACAUGGGACUCAAGUCGUUUCAGGGGAGAACACAUGACGGUUUGGCCAAGGGGCCACCCAGUGAUGUUUCCUCACGCGCAGACAGAUCACUGGAGCAAAAUGAAGACAAUGGUUGCCAGUUAUCUUGCAACAGUCCCAGCUGCCUUAAUAAAUGACACAGUGAAGGAAUCAAAUGAAGCUGCCCCAAACUACACCAAUAGCGGCUGCAGCUUGUUACCUCCUUUAAUUAAGGAUGCAGCAGUCUGUAUUGAUGUUGUGCCAGCCCACAGCAUCUCCGAUCACAGACCUGAAUUCCAACCUCAGAACAUGCCCCAGUACAGGAACGUGUUCAGUGAGCGGGCCAGGAGAGGCUUCUGCUACUGGCUCGCUGAGAAGAAGAAACCAGCCUGUGAGUUUGUGUCUACACUGUGCCGAAGCCAAAUGUCCGUUACACUGCAAGUGUCACCUCGGUGUAACUUUCAUACCUACAUGUUGCUCGGAGGAAUGAGAAACAUACUAUAAAUUUUAUUUUAUUGCUGCCCCUUUGCUCAGACCUCCCCGUGUUUGCUUGACCUUUCAGGUCUCAGAGUUUGCAUUCAGAGAUAAACAGAAGCGUUUACAGAAAUUUAAUAAAACUUGUGCAUAGUCACA
rnacentral:lncRNA from 1 species